UGUGUGUCUCAACCUAAUAAAUCCUGUGACUCCUCACAAGGAUUGCCCUGAUCAAGGUCUUACUAAAUUGAAACAUAAAAUAUUCUCUCUAAUCUCUUGAAAUGGUCAAUCCCAUCUUGACUCAUGCACUGGCUUCACAAGUACUUGAUUAUACCAAAAAAAUUUUCGAUCAUGAAUUAAAAAUUCAGAUAGUUUGGCACCAAAGUACAGUGAGUUGCUUGCAAGUCACCAUAGUGA
rnacentral:lncRNA from 1 species